rnacentral:lncRNA from 1 species
UGGGUUUGGCACCAAAGAUGGUCAAUAAUCAGUUGGAAGGCAUAUCUUCUGAAUCUGAUGCUAAUAAUCCUGGUUACGAUCUGUCAAAAAUGAUUCCACCUCCACCUCCACCUCUGAGGCAACAGCCUCCACUGCCAGGACCUGCCAUGGCUCCACCAUUGCAGCCUGAUGUUUUACCUCCAGGAAUUUCACGAUUUCCCCCACCCCCACCUCCAACAGAUAUGAGGCCUGCAUUGCCUGGCAGCGGAAUUGUUGGGCAACCUGCUCCACCUGGUGUUAUGGUCCCAGUUAUUGCAAGACCCUCUUUUGGACCUCCACCAAUGAUGAGACCACCACUUCCACCUGGUCCCUCACCUAUUCCACAAGAUGACCCUGGUGCUGGACUACCUGCUCCACAGAAACCAUCAUAUGUUAAAUCUGC